GGACUCUGUAGCUCAGUUGGUUAGAGUGCUGCACCGGAAUCACAGGGCCGCAGGUUCGAUUCCGCCAGAGAGCCG